UACAGAGACUGCAAGCGUUAUUCGGAUUCACUGGGCGUAAAGCGUGCGUAGGCGGUUUGUUAAGUCCGUUGUGAAAGCCCUGGGCUCAACCUGGGAAUUGCAGUGGAUACUGGCGAGCUAGAGUGCGGUAGAGGAUGGUGGAAUUCCCGGUGUAGCGGUGAAAUGCGUAGAGAUCCGGAAGAACACCGGUGGCGAAGGCGGCCCGCUGGGAUACUUGCUGACGCUGAGGCGCGACAGCGUGGGGAGCAAACAGG
rnacentral:rRNA from 1 species